GCGCUGAAAAACAGACGCGACGAAAAGCGAAACAAGCGAUUGUAAGUGUAGCUGAGAGUCGGACGGCUGCGUUGACUUGGUUUCUGGUUGGCCGCUCAUCGGCCGAACAAUAAUUGGACGGAGGGUGAAUACAAAGGCCCCAGUAAGUUUCGCCGCCCGUCGGACACCCCGAUAUGGUUCCUGUGGCGACGUAAUUACCUGUUCGUUCGCAGACGGUUCCUGCUACUGUGAAUGAAAGAAUCAUCUCUGAUCCCAUCUCCCAUCUCACCUAGCUGUCCUCACUCGCCAUUUUCUAAGCCUGGUGCUCUAAAAAGUCGGUUAUUGGACGAUCCUAUACCGUUUAAUUCCCAUAUAAGAGAAUUCCCUCAACCCUGCCUUCGAUAUCAAUAACCUGUCUGUCCCAAUAUCGGUGAACUUCCAGCGAGUUCCAACUUAAUAUGCAACACCACCCAAGGAUUUAGAGAGACGCCACACGGUCUGAAGCCACUCGACGAAGUCAUAGGGAGCAUUGAAAUCCUUUUCUGAUGGAAUCUGAUUACAGACGGAUGUCUUUCGCGAGGUAAACUCCCAGACGACGUCCUUGCAAGGCUUCCAGCUCGCAGGCUCUCACCACUCGAGCUUUUAGGAAAUUCCUUGCAAACUUGGCGUUGAACGACUUGCUAAAGUCACUGAGGAAGAAGUUGCGCCGGUAUACUUCCUGACCUGGCUUGACCAAGAAGAUUCGAGCGCGCUAGUCAUACCGAUGGCGGCUUCUCUCAUAUGCUGUUUUUAGAUUCUUUCGCACUUUUUUUUUUGGUGAAUCACACGCAGUUUGUCCGCAGUCUUCAUCCCAGUCAUAUUAUGGUCGCACAAAGACUUUAACUUAUAAUUGGCUCCGUUCAGGAACUCGUGAUGUCUGAACACCAUGAAGAAGGGCACUUUUCUUGUGAUCGUGUAAAUCGCGAUGCGAAGAUGUUGUGUGCUAAACGACUUGCUUGGAAAAGUAAAACUAGCAAGGGUGAUUAAAGGGCAAAAGUAAUUGGUCGCAGACCAUAAUAUAAUAUUAGCAGAAUAUUAAGUUUCUACCCAUAUAUUCCGUGAGGGAUAAGCCUGGAUCAGGAAAAGAGACUUACGUAAGGAGAGACGAAGACCAGCCACCAGGAGGAGAUCUACAUUUUCGACCAGAAAAUUGGCCACUCAUCCCCGGGCCCCGUCCACAGGUUUUUAUUCGCCCCUUAGAAUUAUAUUUGCCACAGAAAAAUAAAACUUGUUCCCGAAAACUGCAAACUGCAAACCAAGUCAGCAAGCCGAAAAUUAAAAUAUAAAAAUUGAGACUGGUAUCUCAGAUUGUGUAACCCGCCCAAACUAAUUUAUAAUAUAAUACUAAAUGUUACAAUUUAAGAGAAAAUCCUGAAUUAUAAAGUGAAAACGAAAUGAAGUGUGAAUAGAAAUUCGUGUUGGGGGGUGAGAUGAGUUAGGCGAAGUAGCACGACCCACAAAACAGAAUUGGGAGAUGUGUCCAAAAUGUUGAAGGAUACACUCAUGGUUGGGAGGGACUCCAGGACCACGAUAAGAGCUGUGUUGUCCAGUCCAGGUGUUCAAGAAAAAUCCUUCGUGAAGAUUGCCGUUGUCCGAGUGUGAAUUUCCGUUUUGUUUUUGUUGUGUCUGCUGCGUAGACAACAUUGUUGGUUGUUCCCCUCCCUGGGACGGUCGAUGACUAGCCGGCAUCUACACUGCGCAAAAAGCAGGUCACGACAAGGAGCUACCUAAAUCUCUGGAAGAUAAGCAUCCCAGUCCCGAUGGUCUCCAUCCAAAAGACCCCGGAUUGCUGCCAACACGCUUCGAUUGACUCGUUCCACUGCGUUGCUCUGCGGAGAGUAUAUCGGUGUCUUUAGGUGAGUGAUCCCGAAACUCUCUAUCGCUUCCUCGAAGAUCUUGGACGUGAACUGCCGACCAUUGUCCGAAUGUACUACUUCCGGGAUGCCGAGUUUGUAAAAUAUCUCGUGAAUACGGAAAUCUUCCACGUUUGAGGUAGCGGUAGCUUCCUUCAGAGCCUUUAAGAAUGUGUAUUUGGAGAAGUGAUCCACAACGAUAUAUUUCCUAAGGAUGUCGAUAUACAGCUUUUGAAACGGCUGUUCCGUCUGGACUCUUUCUCCAAUUCCGAGUUCCAUCCGGAAUAUAGGUGCCGUCGAUUCCUUGCAGACUUCGCAUCCCCACACGAAGUAGCGGACUUGGAUUGCCACCCCUGGCCAGUAGUAGUCCAUUCGCAAGAUUUCCACAGUCUUUCCCAUUCCGCCAUGAGCUGCUGUUGGAUCCGUAAGUGCACGCUCAAUUAUGCUGUGGGUCAGACUUUGCGGAAUCCACAGUUUACACUCGGCCUCUUCCACCUCCCCAUUAAGAUUCGUUGGAAAAACUCUUUUGAAGAUGAGACCAUCCUCGAUCUUUAAGUCCGUGAAUACAGUGGUUUCGAAACCCAACAACUCCGUCGGAUCCACCGCUAGCUCUUCUACGCACGGCGAGAGGGUGUCUGCCACGGCGUUCUCCCUGUCUUUUCUUGGACGUUGAUGCACUAUGGUCAGUACAAGCAAGUGGCCCUUACGACACUAUGCAAUGCUUGCUACGUGCGGAGCCUUUAACCGUUUUGGGCAAACGAAAUCGCGGACAUGGAAAAAGACCAUAUAACAAUAGAUUGCUUAAAAUACAUGUUCACAUAGAAUGGUUAGCAACAUAGAAAUUUACAAAUUAUUGGAAAAUAGAAAAUAAAUAAGAUUAUCGUAA